rnacentral:lncRNA from 1 species
AUGACCUUUGAGGGUGUUUUGCUGCCUCGAGUCCACAUGAGGGUUGGUCUGAGCCACCAGAAACCUAGUGAGAUCGUGGAAUUCCAUUCAAUAUCACUCUCCCAGGAUCUAGAAAUGUGGCUCAAGGAUCAGCCCCUCUGCCAUCUCCCCUGCUACAGUUGCAGCCUCCAGUGUCAUUUUGGAGACCUUCUCAUCAGGGGCAGAAUUGACUUUGUACACAGUUGCUGCUUGGCUGAUAGAAUGGAAGAGGUCAAGGAAUUUGUUCAAGAUAACCAAAGAAAUUACAAGAAGAGCAUUACUUCUGUCAGUCUUGGGAGCAUCUCUUUACUCAUCUCCCUUAAUACAAGCAAAUGAGUCUUUUAUUCAUUCUUGCUCAACUACUGGGCUUUCCAGGUGAUGGAACCCACUUGCUUACUGGCCUUCAUGGGGACUGCCCACCUUUCUAUAUAACCUGUGUAGAGCGCCUGCCCCUCACCUGGCUUAGAGUCACCUGACACUCGGCUUCUCAGUACUGUAUACAGGUGAGGGGUGGUGGGUCCAUAGAAGGGAGUGGGUCCUCCCCUGAGUUUUAUGAGCACGAGGACUGAAUCCCUUUGUUAGUGUCAAGCGCUCCUUUAUGUGUCCAGAGUAUCCUGCUUUGUACUUCGAACCACAUAGAAUGAUGUCACUUGGCCAUCAGGAGACAUCCCACAAGCCACUGAGUGGAAAGGUCAAUGUGCAGUGGGCUUAUGACAGAUUCUAGCAGUUGAAUUCAUGGAAUGAGUUCACAUCUCUUCAAGCUCUGUUCUCUCAUGAUGACUUGGGGCCAGCAACUCUUUGAUCUAUUUUCUUUUUUGGUGUUUUAAGUUGAUACCAAUCUCUGUGAUUGUGAUGCGUUUUAAUUCUCAGAGCAGACCCAGAGUCAACCCCUUUGUAAGCAAGAUGUCAUGGAAUCUGUGUAAUCUUGUUCCUCAGUGGCUCCAAUUUCUGUGUACCCGGCA